rnacentral:rRNA from 1 species
GGCCGCGACCAUGCCAUGUUGGAAACACCGGUUCUCGUCUGAUCACCGAGGUUAAGCAAAAUUGGACCCGUUUAGUACUUGCAUGGGUGACCGGCUGGGAAUACCGGGUGUCGCGGCCG